UACGGGAGGCAGCAGUGGGGAAUAUUGCACAAUGGGCGCAAGCCUGAUGCAGCCAUGCCGCGUGUAUGAAAAAGGCCUUCGGGUUGUAAAGUACUUUCAGUCGUGAGGAAGGUGUUAAGGUUAAUAACCUUAGCAAUUGACGUUAGCGACAGAAGAAGCACCGGCUAACUCCGUGCCAGCAGCCGCGGUAAUACGGAGGGUGCGAGCGUUAAUCGGAAUUACUGGGCGUAAAGGGCACGCAGGCGGUUAAUUAAGUUGGAUGUGAAAUCCCCGGGCUUAACCUGGGAAUGGCAUUCAAGACUGGUUAGCUAGAGUCUUGUAGAGGGGGUAGAAUUCCAUGUGUAGCGGUGAAAUGCGUAGAGAUGUGGAGGAAUACCGGUGGCGAAGGCGGCCCCUGGACAAAGACUGACGCUCAUGUGCGAAAGCGUGGGGAGCAAACGAGGAUUAGAUAC
rnacentral:rRNA from 1 species